rnacentral:rRNA from 1 species
CCUACGGGGGGCUGCAGUGGGGAAUAUUGGACAAUGGGCGAAAGCCUGAUCCAGCCAUGCCGCGUGUGUGAAGAAGGCCUUCGGGUUGUAAAGCACUUUCAGUGGGGAAGAAAGCCUUGGGGCUAAUACCCUCGAGGAAGGACAUCACCCACAGAAGAAGCACCGGCUAACUCCGUGCCAGCAGCCGCGGUAAUACGGAGGGUGCGAGCGUUAAUCGGAAUUACUGGGCGUAAAGCGCGCGUAGGCGGUCUGAUAAGCCGGUUGUGAAAGCCCCGGGCUCAACCUGGGAACGGCAUCCGGAACUGUCAGGCUAGAGUGCAGGAGAGGAAGGUAGAAUUCCCGGUGUAGCGGUGAAAUGCGUAGAGAUCGGGAGGAAUACCAGUGGCGAAGGCGGCCUUCUGGACUGACACUGACGCUGAGGUGCGACAGCGUGGGUAGCAAACAGGAUUAGAUACCCCUGUAGUC